rnacentral:lncRNA from 1 species
ACAUGAAAUAAUGUACAUUAGAAUUUCAUUUGCAUACAUUUUUCUUGUCAAAUCGUCUUUAUCUUCAAUAAUGAUUUUUAUAAUUUAUAUAAAUUAUUUCCAUAAUAUUUACGUUUCAUUUUUUAAUACGUUUUAAUUAACCAAUAACAGUUGUCCAUUUGGUGUAGUAAUACUAUACCACGAAAGAACUACUUUAGGUUCGACAAUCAUCAACAAGGUCAUGACAGAAGGCGGGUGGUUUGUCAAAAUAAGAUCAUUACGAUCAUGGAUCCAGCCCUCAGCCUGUAAUCAAUACCGGAAUCUAACGUUUCAACUAAGCAGUGGUCUUUUAAGACUUUAAUAAAAGAACAACCUAUCGUCCAGGAAGGAUUACUGAUCGGUUGUUGAUGGCAUAUAAGAUGAGUCAAUGAUGUUUUACCAACACCUGCA